rnacentral:ribozyme from 1 species
AAAGAAAUGAAGAGAAAAAUGAAAGAAAAGACAAUGCAGUCUGUUUGCCUGUCUGUCUUUUGGUUCGUCUGAGGAAAAGAAGGAACAAAAACUCUA